rnacentral:lncRNA from 1 species
CUAAGGAAAAAUAACAUAAAUGCAUGAGAACAAGCCAAUUAAGUCGCAUAAAAAUGCUCUUAUCAACCACUUAUGGAAUAUAUCACAUUUACCUGGCGUUGGUUAUGGUUACCCCUUGAAGGGUGAAGGAGGAAUUGAUCAAUCUUUCCUUCAUGUGCCAAAGCUUCAAUAUGACCACGAAGGGUGAUACACUUCUCGCCGUCAUGGCCGUUAUGCUCGUGGUAGCAGCAAAACGUGCCCGUGUUCUUCGUGGGCUUGUAAUCUGUGUGCCUUGGCUUUGGCUUUGGUAUCUGGUGUGAUAGGCUGGGGUAAAUGGCCAUGCAUGUGAAGUUCAAAGGUGUGUAUGCCUCAUACCUUGGGGUAGGGGCUGUCAUGACAUGUGCUUGACCUACUGUGUUGAUUUCCUGAGGUCGAGGAUUAUCAUGGCGAUACCCUUGAUUAUCGUGGUAGUGUCCCUUACUCCUUUUACUAAAAUGAGACUGGUGAGGAUGAAAAUCUUUCCUUUUGCCCUGAGAUUGAUAUGUCUGUUGACUUGGCAAAAGUAUUAAGCAAGGUAGGGGGAGGCACCGCUGAAGGAAAUUUUGUGAAAAACAUGUUCAUUUAAGCAACAUCUAUAGCAUGCAAUUAACAAAUUUAAAGGCGGAAUCAUGCUUGUAUGCACUUAAAAUCAAAACAUUAACCAUGAAAUUCAAAGCCUAGUAGAUUGGUGAACCAAGACUCAA